rnacentral:ncRNA from 1 species
CCUUCAUGAAUAGCUUUAUGCAACAAAGCCUGUUUAAAGCAAUGUUUUUCUUCAGUGCAGGCGCAAUGUUUGGCUAUUGUUAUAAGCAUUAUGAUGAAAAAGUUAUAGAGUCUAAUAAAUCUAAAUAGCUCCUAAAAAACCGUCUAAAUGGCGGUUUUUUAA